UGGGUAUCCAUGAAUGAAGAAGCAGUCACUAGUUGUGUGUUGUUCUUCAUGUUAUACACUAGUACUGUAGAAGAAAUAGGCACUAAACACCUGGACAAAGAGCAAACAGUUCUAAGUGCUUUAAGAGGAGAGAAUUGGUAUAACAAGACAGGAAACUAUUUUAAGAGAACAGAAAAAAGAAACCAAAGAUGUAUGCUUUAUAUUGAUCUGUCAGCUCCUGGUCAUAAAUGCAUGCUUGUCUGUUUUCAUUUCCUCACAAGACCAAGGGAAGGUUAAUUUUGUUUUAUUCACAAAACUAUUAUCUUGACUCAUUGUGUGACCAUAGUAGAACAAGCCAGCCAUAUGUGAUACCCGGAAAGACAGGCUUAAGUGGAAAACCAAAGAUAGACUGUGCCAGAGACUUCUUUUAUAAAGAGAUAAAAUUUACUAAAUUACUGAACAUAAUUCUACUCUAAACAUAUUUUUGUAUAUCAAGUAAAAUUUCUGAGUGUAAGGGAAUACAACUGAAUUUUAAAACUGUAUAAUAGGAUUGGCAUUCACUGUUCAUAACAUGAUGUGAUAGCUCACUGCUCCUUUAAGGCUUCCAGUUCUGGUGCUGUGCCUCAUCAGCUUAGCAUGUUAAGAGGAUACCAAGAGAUCCAUAACUCAGCAAGCUGAAUAUACUUGACACAACUGAAAUAUGCGCCCAAAAGAGUUAUUUGACCUUAUGUGCUUCUUACCACAAUUUAAAAAAAAGUUGUUUUAUUCAGUGUAUGUGUCUAUGUCUGUGUAUUCCUGAGUGUGUAUGCCAGAGCAUAGCAUGGGUAUAGACAAGGGAAGUCAACUUGCAGGAAUCAAUUCUUUCCGCUGUGAUGUGCUUCCCUGAGAUCUAACUCAAGUGUCCAGACUUGGCGGCACACAGUCUUACCCUAUGAGCCAUCUCUGCAGUCCUACCAUACCGUGUGUGACUGUACCAUGUGUGUGAGUGUGUGUGUGAGUGUGUGUGUGUGUGUGUGUGUGUGUGUGUGUGUGUGUGUGUGGUGGGGGUCCUGUGUAUGUGAACCCACAUCUCCUGCAUUUGAUGGUUCGAGAUACAAGCUGGCUUUCUGAAUGUUUCAGCAGUUACUAAUCAACAAGAAGGUUGCCCUUUCUGUAUUUUUUCCCUCAAACACAAAAAUGCUAUGACAGGAAUGAAACACAAGUUACAUACUUGACUUACUGCCCAGAAGAUACCCUGGGAUCCAUAACAUGGCUUAAAGAUUUAAGAAAGACCUUUAGUCUACUUCUGAAAAGGUCUUUAGCCUCAAAAGCUUUAUCUCUCAACUGGACUUCAUGGCAGCUGUUAUAUUUUUUUGCUGUCGUUUGUUUGACAGGAUCCAGUUAUAGGUUCCGAUGUCUGUUUAAAGAAACAAGGAGGCUGUUGGCUCUCAAAUCCCCCCAUUGCUUGUGUGAUCAGCAUUUUCCCAGGCUUUUCUACAUAGUUUGCCAAGCGAAGGGACUGACCUUUUGUAGCAAACACUUUUUCAUUUCAAAAUGCUCACUUUGAUUUUUGUCCCAUUUUAUACUCAUUCCAAACUGUUUACAACCCACUAAAAAUGACUGUGAAUUAUAUGUUUGUAUAAUGGAUUCCUUUUGUGGUCCGAGUGGAAUGUUUACUUUGAACAAUUAGUUAUCUUAGGGUAGAUUGUAACAAGUUGGAAGAAAAAAAAAAGAAUGGGUGAAGUUAUUAUUGUACCUUAACUGCUUUUUAAUUCCUUAUGAUUAUGUGAAAUUUGAGAUACUGUCACUUUAACGUGAGGUUUUAUAUGGUCAUAUUUGCUAGUACCCGGGUACCAUGAGAAAACAUGAGGAAGAUACUUCUAUGACUUAGAAUGCUUCACAGUGUGGAAUAGAAACAAAUAGAUGGGUAUUUGCUGUAAACAUAUUGCUAUGCAUAUUAGGUGGAGUAUGCAUGUGCAAGAAAUUAUUGGAUAAGCAGCAGGAAUGAUGACCUAAAUAUUCUGCGGAGACAUGAAACUUGUCCUUGUUAAUACUGUUACUUCACUCAGUGAACCCUUCAGUCCACUGAGAUCCUACUAAGUGCUUUGGUAUAAAAAUAAAACUUUACGUUGCUAUUUCCCGUUGCUUGAAAUCCAGUCCCCUAAAGUGCAGAUUGUAUUGCCAUAACUAGACAAGUUUUCUCCCAGCCCCGCUAACUUUAUUCUCCUCAUUCUUUUCUACUUUGGAAUAAUCUAUGAUAGCUGGAUCCAGGCACGCACUAAAGGCUGAUCCAUCUAUGAAAAAUGUGCAAUUUGUACUGCUUGGUUUCUGACGAGAGUCUUGCAAACUUUUAUGAUUCCAUCCUCUUCCCGAGAGACUUCUGCUUCCUAGUUUUAUAAGCAGUGAGUGAAAAAAAAAAAGUAAUAAAAACAAAAACAAACUGAUAAAAAUUACAUGCUUUAAACAAAUCUAGAGAACAAGAUAAGCAGUUUUUCUUUUUCUCUCGAGAAUAUUUGUGGACUUGAAAAAAAUAAUGUCCCUAAGGGAAUAAGCUAUGUUGGUGUUUGUUGUUUGUUUGUUUUGGUUUGGAUUUUUCUCACUUUUAUGUCUAUAGCUGAGUGUCCAAAUGCACUUCAUUGCGCAGGAUUCUCAAUGAAGCUCUUGAGAGUAUGCUUCAAAUUAACUUAGCUUUUCUUUCUGAGUUAAAAUUAAGACCAGUUUUUUUUUUGUUUUUUUUUUUUGCCUCUCGGUGUUUUGUUUUGUUUUUGUUUUAAUGCAACCACAGAGACAGCCACCUUCCUGACAGCACUGUUGUGCGACAUCCAAGUUGGAGCUGGCUCUUUCGGGUAGUCAUGCUGGGGCCUCCGUGUCUGUAAGAAAGCCACAUUGAGGGCUAAGAGGGAAGACAAUCCCAAACAGAGUAAACAGGAAAGAGCCAGUAAGAGUAUAAAAGAGAAACCAGGAAAGACAACGGAAAGAAACCAGAGAUGGCAAGGUGGGGAGUUGCGGGUCUGGGUAGAUUUUGCAAAGACAAAAGCAAUUGUGGACAACAGGGUAGGUCUGUGAGUUCCAAAAGGGAGAAGCACAGGGGUUUUUUCAUAUCUAGCAAGUUACCCAAAACUUGCUUUUCUGUCUCAGAUAAAUUUAUCCUUGCUUUGAAAUGACAGAUAGUUCAAUCUUGCAAUAAACUGUAUGUCUUGAAUCU
rnacentral:lncRNA from 1 species